CAUUUCAGCAGCACGUAAUACACUACAAUUGGAAUAAUACAGACAUAAAAAGCAUGUCCUCUUCACAAGGAUGCCCUACAAAUUUGUGAAACAUUCCAUUUUUUU